CCCUUAGAUGUUCUGGGCCGCACGCGCGCUACACUGACGGAGUCAACGAGUUGUCCUGCAUCGGAAGGUGUGGGUAAUCUUUUGAAACUUCGUCGUGCUGGGGAUAGAUCUUUGCAAUUUUCGAUCUUGAACGAGGAAUUCCUAGUAAGCGUGAUUCAUCAGAUCGCGCUGAUUACGUCCCUGCCCUUUGUACACACCGCCCGUCGCUACUACCGAUUGAAUGGUUUAGUGAGGCCUCGGGACUGGCGCGCUCGAGUAGCAAUACACCUGCGCGCCGGGAACUUGGUCAAACUUGAUCAUUUAGAGGAAGUAAAAGUCGUAACA
rnacentral:rRNA from 1 species